rnacentral:rRNA from 1 species
GUCCAUGCCGUAAACGUUGGGCGCUAGGUGUGGGGCCCUAUCCACGGGUUCCGUGCCGCAGCUAACGCAUUAAGCGCCCCGCCUGGGGAGUACGGCCGCAAGGCUAAAACUCAAAGGAAUUGACGGGGGCCCGCACAAGCGGCGGAGCAUGCGGAUUAAUUCGAUGCAACGCGAAGAACCUUACCAAGGCUUGACAUACGCCGGAAACAUCCAGAGAUGGGUGCCCCGCAAGGUCGGUGUACAGGUGGUGCAUGGUU